rnacentral:rRNA from 1 species
CCUACGGGCGGCAGCAGUGGGGGAUAUUGCACAAUGGGGGGAACCCUGAUGCAGCGACGCCGCGUGAGUGAAGGAGUGUUUCGGCGCGUAAAGCCCUAUCGGCAGGGAAGAAAAUGACGGUACCUGACUAAGAAGCCCCGGCUAACUACGUGCCAGCAGCCGCGGUAAUACGUAGGGGGCAAGCGUUAUCCGGAUUUACUGGGUGUAAAGGGGGCGCAGACGGCAAUGCAAGUCAGGAGUGAAAGGCCGGGGCUUAACCCCGGGACUGCUCUGGAAACUGCGUGGCUGGAGUGCAGAAGAGGCAAGCGGAACUCCUAGUGUAGCGGUGAAAUGCGUAGAUAUAAGGAGGAACACCAGUGGCGAAGGCGGCUUUCUGGUCUGUAACUGACGUUGAGGUCCGAAGGCGUGGGUAGCAAACAGGAUUAGAUACCCGAGUAGUC